ACAGCAGUAGCCGCGGUAAUACGUAGGUGGCAAGCGUUGUCCGGAAUUAUUGGGCGUAAAGGGCUCGCAGGCGGUUUCUUAAGUCUGAUGUGAAAGCCCCCGGCUCAACCGGGGAGGGUCAUUGGAAACUGGGAAACUUGAGUGCAGAAGAGGAGAGUGGAAUUCCACGUGUAGCGGUGAAAUGCGUAGAGAUGUGGAGGAACACCAGUGGCGAAGGCGACUCUCUGGUCUGUAACUGACGCUGAGGAGCGAAAGCGUGGGGAGCGAACAGGAUUAGAUACCCGCGUAGUCCCUGUCUCUUAUAC
rnacentral:rRNA from 1 species